UGGGGAAUAUUGGACAAUGGGCGAAAGCCUGAUCCAGCCAUGCCGCGUGUGUGAAGAAGGUCUUCGGAUUGUAAAGCACUUUAAGUUGGGAGGAAGGGCAGUAAAUUAAUACUUUGCUGUUUUGACGUUACCGACAGAAUAAGCACCGGCUAACUCUGUGCCAGCAGCCGCGGUAAUACAGAGGGUGCAAGCGUUAAUCGGAAUUACUGGGCGUAAAGCGCGCGUAGGUGGUUUGUUAAGUUGGAUGUGAAAUCCCCGGGCUCAACCUGGGAACUGCAUUCAAAACUGACAAGCUAGAGUAUGGUAGAGGGUGGUGGAAUUUCCUGUGUAGCGGUGAAAUGCGUAGAUAUAGGAAGGAACACCAGUGGCGAAGGCGACCACCUGGACUGAUACUGACACUGAGGUGCGAAAGCGUGGGGAGCAAACA
rnacentral:rRNA from 1 species